GCCGACCCCUCGUGCGGCGUCAUCCCGCCGAACCCCCCCAGGGCCGGAAGGCAGCAAGGGUAGGCAGGCUCUGGCGGGUGCGCGAGGGGUCCCUUCG
rnacentral:SRP_RNA from 1 species